UCGGGAAUUUUGGGCAAUGGGCGAAAGCCUGACCCAGCAACGCCGCGUGAAGGAUGAAGUAUUUCGGUAUGUAAACUUCGAAAGAAUAGGAAGAAUAAAUGACGGUACUAUUUAUAAGGUCCGGCUAACUACGUGCCAGCAGCCGCGGUAAUACGUAGGGACCAAGCGUUGUUCGGAUUUACUGGGCGUAAAGGGCGCGUAGGCGGCAAUUCAAGUCAUCUGUGAAAUCUCCGGGCUUAACUCGGAACGGUCAGAUGAUACUGCUUUGCUAGAGUGCAGAAGGGGCAAUCGGAAUUCUUGGUGUAGCGGUGAAAUGCGUAGAUAUCAAGAGGAACACCUGAGGUGAAGACGGGUUGCUGGGCUGACACUGACGCUGAGGCGCGAAAGCCAGGGGAGCGAAACGGGAUUAGAUACCCCCGUAGUCCCUGAGCGGGCUGGCAAGGCGCAU
rnacentral:rRNA from 1 species